AACUGAGGUUCAGGGAGGCUGUCACUGGCUCAAGGCCACACAGCAAUUCACGUCUGAGCCAGGACUUGAACCAGGGCAAUCUGACUCUGGAGCCCUGGAGUGGGAAGUCUGGAGUCCUAGGGUCAGGCCUUGCAUUGCUGCUGACUUGCUGUGUGACCUUGGAAAGAGUAUCCCCCUCUCUGGUCCCUGCCAGAACCUUGGACUUGAGGGAGCUGCGCAGUGCAGGGCAGCCUGGGAGACCAGGGAGAGGGAACAGGGGAUCCAGGUCCAACCCUAGCUCCAGAACAUUGCUGCAGAAGCGGGCAAGAGCAGACAGCUUUUGUCGCCUGAAUCCCAUACACGGUCUUUACAAAAAGUCUUCAUGGAAAUUAUCUUCCAUUUUUAUUUCCCAGUUGCCCUGAAAGGUUGAAAUUACAGUCGUUUCCAUUUUACAAAUGAGGAAGCUGAAGCUCAGAGAGGUUAAGUGACUUGCUCAAGGUCACAGAGCCGAGCAGUGACAGAGGUGGUCCAGGCUGGAAGACGGCAAUGACGGAGACAGAUACCUGCCUGGAGUUUAAGCAGCUCACGUCUCAUCUAGGAAGAGGCAUAAUACAGAGCACACCAUCGAAUAAAUACAUCGUCGCACAAAAUGAAAACAACGCACAAGCAGGGAGGCGCUCUCUGUCGGGACGAGGGGUCCCUGGCCUGCAGUGGGUCUCCCCUUCCCUGAGGACCUGGGGCUGGCGUGGCCAGGCUGACCCCUCGGCUGAACUAGGGCUGAGCGGGGCCUCAUCAGCUGUCUGUCCACAGACGCCCCAUUCUGAACACCCUGAGCUGAGGGCCCCCCACCUCUUCAACCCUUCAUGCUCACUUCCACCCUCACCUCCUGAGCCAAGUCCUCCCUGACCGCCUUGGCCAGAGGCCCAUCCUCACUCUCUCACCAUCACUGUGUAUGACCUUUCUCAGCAGCGGUGGAAGAAAGGGUCUCCU